CCCGGCUAAUACUGAUUUCUAACUAUUUUUAUACCAAAGCAGUGACAGCUGUGGUAAUUGUGAUGGGUGUGAUAAAUUUUUAAGGAAGGAACUAUUUCUUUUCAAAACGUUUUUAAAAGUUUUUAAAGGGAAGAAAGUUUAUAGACUUUCCAACUAUAUCUCUGUUUUUUCAGUACUGUAUGGGUUUUUUAAAAAGUAAUUUUUUGGGCCGGGGAUUUAGCUCAGUGGUUUCGCCACCUGGUGUGCAAGCACAAGGACCCGAGUUCAAUCCCCAAUACCAAAAAAAGAAAAAAAAAAAAAGAAGUAAUUCUUUGUAAGAGGUUAGUAAUAAGUAUCCAUUACAGUUCUGUGAAAGGGCAUAUUUUUUUCACUUUAAUAUUUAUUCCAAUCUUUUUUUUUUUUUUUGAUACUGGGAAUUGAACUCGCGGUCCUUGCGCUUGUGCAGCAGGCGGUGGAACCACUGAACUAAAUCCCUCAGCCCAAUAUUUAUUAAUUUUUAAAUAUUUUUAUUUCAUUUGCAACAUCUUACCAUUUUAAUUUUUAGGAUAUGUUUUUAUUUUUACAAAGAAGAUACUUAGUUGUAUGGGGAUAAAGCUUUUAGAUGUAUUCUGAAAUACUUAUAAAACACUUCGUGGACUGUUGAAAUCACUUCCAAAAAUGGUGGCUAUCCAACAACUAUUAAUUUUUUAAGCACAAAUCACAUAUUUUAUAAACCUGUGAAUUUCACUCUUGACCUUUUUUGUUUGUUUGUUUGUUAAUUGUAGCAAUUUUUUUUUCCAUUAAGUUUAUUGGUAUAUUUUAGGUAUACAGUACAGUUACAUUCAUCUUUGGGAUCUUGUACCUUUACAUGAUGUAUCUUGGUUCUUAAUUUUUCAAAGGCCAUUCUUACAAGCAAUUAUUGUACAAUAUGUCAAUAAAAUUCAUGCCUUCAGAUUUAUUUUAGUGUAUCCUGUCUCAGGACUAAGAAUAAACUCUAUAGGAGACUGUGUUCUAGUUUAACAAAAGAAAUGGAUAGUUUUAAUGAAGACAAACAACAGAGUACUAUAUACCAAAUAACAGACUUAGGCUAGACCAGUGACAAAGCCCAUAUAACAAAGUGCAAAUUCCCAAUCGGUAGGAUUCGGUAGUAGAUCUUGAAAUAAGACUUACAGGAUUUCAUCUGCCCAUCUAGCCCCCUCUGUAAUUUGUGGGUACACUUUGCCAGAAGCAGCAGAAGUAGCAUAAAAGUCAACAUAAGUCCCCUUUCUGCCCAAUGAUUACACUUGAUACCUCAUCAGGCACUCCAGGAAUACCAAACUUUCUCCAGCUGUAGUUUGAUUAUUUCAUUUUGCUUUUCUUUUCUUGAGCUACUCACUUGGCAUUUAACUGAGAUUUCCAUCUCCUUUUUCUUUAUUAGAUCUUAGUGCUUUUCUUCAUUUAAUUCAACUAUUUUCUGCAUAUCUUGAUAAAGUUUGCUUAUUUCUAUCUUAUGUUCUUGUUUUUUUCUUUUGGUACCAGGGAUUGAACUUGGGUCCUUGCACCUGCGCAGCAGGCGGCAAAACCACUGAGUUAAAUCCCCGGCCCCUGUUCUUCCUCUUUGAUUUUCAUUUUAUGUACAAGUUUGGCAAUAUUAUUCUUAUAUUUCUGUUUGUGAGAUUUCAGCUUUUCCCUUGUCAUAUCAGCAUUUCUUUUUAGUUGUUCAUUUUCACUUCUCAAAUUGUGUUGAUAUUCAGUGGCCUGUUGUCCUUUUAUCAUAUCAUGAAGAGCAGCACAUUCUUUUUUAAUUGAGGCUUCCUUUGUUUGCAUUACUUUUAAUAAAUAGGUACUCUUUUCCAACUGAAUUUCCAGUAUGUUAUUCCUUCCACUGGUUUCUAUCAUUUUCUUUUCUAUCUGUGAAAAAUCCUUUAUAAGUUUGUCAAUAUUUACACUGCUAAUCUUUUUUGUACAUUCUUUGCCACUUUGAUCCAUGCUUGAAUUGCUCUUGUUCCUGGUUCCCCAAAGUCUCCCCUGCCUCAAUUGGCAGUCCGGUCCGGUCCACUGCUGAUUAUUGUCCCCUCCACUCGUGACCUUUAAUUGAAAUACCAGAAUUGUUUUAGAAAAAUCUUAAUUUGAGAAGACCAGAGGAAACUGCCCGAGUCUAACACAGUUAUCGGUACUAACCAGGCUUUAUUGGAAGUGUAUUGCUAAUCUGCCUUUCCUCCAUCAGAGCCAGAGUUGGUUUUGCUGUGGAAUAGUGUCACAUUUCCUCUGUGGAACUGAAUAAACCAUCUUUGCUAGGAAAGAAUGGUGUUUUGUUUGCUUUCUAACUGGGCUGAAUAUGAAAUUUCAAAAUGAACCCCCUUUCCUCUGCCAGUUUCCAGAUAAUGUAUAUAUAGAGAAUCCCUAAAGUAAAAAUCCC
ensembl:lncRNA